ensembl:lncRNA
UGGAAGGUUGUUAUGCCUCCAGGAACACAGGGACGGUUCCUCGCCCUUCCGUGAUCACCGUUUGGUCAAGGAUGGCCAAAGCAUCUCACUCAUAGCAACUGUACUGGCUGUGAAUUCCGCUGUUAUCCCCCCUGGUAUUCGAAGCAGGAGUGCAGAGAUGAGAUGGGACUCUCCCAAGGUCACGUAGCAAGUCAAUGGAGAUCUGGCGCUGGAUCCUACCCCAUUUCCUUUGGUUGGUUGUUUAUGGAUCUACUGGAUCAGGACUGGAUCCUGGAUCACCCUAUCAGGUCACUGGGAUGCUGGUGCUGCAGAAACGAGUGACAGUCUCUAGUUCUCUGUGUUAUCUGGUGACAGCAGAGAUGACACAAGCUCACGUUAUAAGACAUCCUACUGUGAAACCAGAGAGGAUUCGUGACACUCACAGCCUUGGGCUGGUGACAAAAGCCCCGUGUUUGUGCUGCUGUGUCUCCUGCCUUCAGCAGAGCAAUGCUGAUUUAAACCACUCGAGCUUCUGGUCAGCAUGUGGGAGCCUCGGUGGACUUGCUGACUCUCAUUUCUUAUAUUGGAACCAUCAAGCUUGCUGGGAGACACUUGGAAGAACAGGGAAGUGCUUCACAGAUGGCAUUGCCGAAGUGCAAAAUCUGAGCCCUUGCGGGGGAAAGGGAUGUUUUACCGGGAUCCAUUUUGUUUGUUCACUUUAG